rnacentral:rRNA from 1 species
CCUACGGGAGGCAGCAGUGAGGAAUAUUGGUCAAUGGACGAGAGUCUGAACCAGCCAAGUAGCGUGAAGGAUGACUGCCCUAUGGGUUGUAAACUUCUUUUAUAUGGGAAUAAAAUGUUCCACGUGUGGGAUUUUGUAUGUACCAUAUGAAUAAGGAUCGGCUAACUCCGUGCCAGCAGCCGCGGUAAUACUGAGGAUCCGAGCGUUAUCCGGAUUUAUUGGGUUUAAAGGGAGCGUAGGUGGAUUGUUAAGUCAGUUGUGAAAGUUUGCGGCUCAACCGUAAAAUUGCAGUUGAAACUGGCAGUCUUGAGUACAGUAGAGGUGGGCGGAAUUCGUGGUGUAGCGGUGAAAUGCUUAGAUAUCAGGAAGAACUCCGAUGGCGAAGGCAGCUUACUGGACUGCAACUGACACUGAGGCGCGAAAGUGUGGGUAUCAAACAGGAUUAGAUACCCUGGUAGUC